GGGAGAGUAGGGGAUGGAGUCGGUUGGCUUUUGCCUACAGCCAGCUCAGCGCCCCGUUCUAGUCCCUCGCCCCGUGAGGCAUCAGGAGAGUAAGAAAAUUAGACCCUCAGGAGUGAUUCUCGGUUGCUGGGCUCCUCCGUAGUCCCAGCCUGUGAACCUGCUCCAGCCCUCCUCUGGUGCCCUCCCUUCUAAUUUUUUUUUUUUUCACUUUUUUUUGAGGCAGGGUCUCGCUUUGUCGCCCAGACUGGAGUGCAGUGGCGCAAUCACGGCUCACUGCAGCCUCAAGCGAUCCUCCCGCCCCAGCCUCCCGGGUAGCUGGGACUCCAGGCCCGCGCCACCACGCCCUGCUCCUCUCUCCUCCAAUUCUUGAUCGGGCUGGACGUGGGCCAGCGGGGUGGGGCGGGUUUAACUCCGUGUCUGGAAUGCUCCGCUGCCCUACCCCUCAAACAUCCCUUUAAAUGGUGGUGCUAGGAAAGGACGAGGGCCCGGUGGGUUUACUCCCUCUGGCUGAACUACACCUGAUAGAUACCUCAGGGGCGUUUCCCAAGGGGAUGGAUUUAGAUCAGUUAGCAGGAGGAAUGGUGGCUGUCACAAUUUUUUAUAUUCACGUAAGGAUCGCUCCCUCAGAAAUCGCCAAUAUUGGCUCCCCCAAGAAAUAACCUCAUUUCCUUUUUUAGCCUAAAGCCGUAUUAUUUCUGCCCACUUCUCUCACAUCUAUAAAAUACUGUAGUUAAUUUUUUGUUUUGGUACCUUUUUUGUCUUUUUGAGGAUGACAAGAACUCUUGAAGACCAGGAAUAACAGUAAGUGUAUAUGUUAUAAAAUAAAAUCCUGGGUUCAAAGCCAUAUAAAAUCAAAUUUAUUAUCAUAGCCUGCUGCCUUCUGAGGCCUGGUAUAGGAAGGUAGGAGGUGAUUGGAAUUGAGAAGAUAUUUAUAUUUGUUUUUCCACACCUGCAGUUAUUUUUCCUGUUGCACUUUCCUCCCUCAAAGUUCCUCUGCUCCUCAAAACAUCACUCCGUUUAUGGGUGGCACUGCAUUCUCUUUGCUAAUUCCACAGCUCCCUCAACGUCUUUUCUUGAGGUUACAAAGUGAAUAUUUC
rnacentral:lncRNA from 10 species